rnacentral:rRNA from 1 species
GACGAACGCUGGCGGCGUGCCUAAUACAUGCAAGUUGAGCGCUGAAGGUUGGUACUUGUACCAACUGGAUGAGCAGCGAACGGGUGAGUAACGCGUGGGGAAUCUGCCUUUGAGCGGGGGACAACAUUUGGAAACGAAUGCUAAUACCGCAUAAAAACUUUAAACACAAGUUUUAAGUUUGAAAGAUGCAAUUGCAUCACUCAAAGAUGAUCCCGCGUUGUAUUAGCUAGUUGGUGAGGUAAAGGCUCACCAAGGCGAUGAUACAUAGCCGACCUGAGAGGAUGAUCGGCCACAUUGGGACUGAGACACGGCCCAAACUCAUACGGGAGGCAGCAGUAGGGCAUCUUCGGAAAUGGACGAAAGUCUGACCGAGCAACGCCGCGUGAGUGAAGAAGGUUAUCGGAUCGUAAAACUCUGUUGGUAGAGAAGAACGUUGGUGAGAGUGGAAAGCUCAUCAAGUGACGGUAACUACACAGAAAGGGACGGCUAACUACGUG